rnacentral:rRNA from 1 species
ACGGCCGCAAGGUUAAAACUCAAAUGAAUUGACGGGGGCCCGCACAAGCGGUGGAGCAUGUGGUUUAAUUCGAUGCAACGCGAAGAACCUUACCUGGUCUUGACAUCCACGGAAGUUUUCAGAGAUGAGAAUGUGCCUUCGGGAACCGUGAGACAGGUGCUGCAUGGCUGUCGUCAGCUCGUGUUGUGAAAUGUUGGGUUAAGUCCCGCAACGAGCGCAACCCUUAUCCUUUGUUGCCAGCGGUCCGGCCGGGAACUCAAAGGAGACUGCCAGUGAUAAACUGGAGGAAGGUGGGGAUGACGUCAAGUCAUCAUGGCCCUUACGACCAGGGCUACACACGUGCUACAAUGGCGCAUACAAAGAGAAGCGACCUCGCGAGAGCAAGCGGACCUCAUAAAGUGCGUCGUAGUCCGGAUUGGAGUCUGCAACUCGACUCCAUGAAGUCGGAAUCGCUAGUAAUCGUGGAUCAGAAUGCCACGGUGAAUACGUUCCCGGGCCUUGUACACACCGCCCGUCACACCAUGGGAGUGGGUUGCAAAAGAAGUAGGUAGCUUAACCUUCG